UAUAAUCAAGUAAGGUGAAAGAAAAAGGGAAGAAAAGAAAAAGAAAAAGAAAAAGAGUGAGGACAGAAAGAAUAGCAAAGAGGGCCCGCAUUCUAUGCUUUAAAAAAUAUAAACGUCCGCUUUUUCUCUUUCUUUUUUAUGACCU
rnacentral:ribozyme from 1 species